AUUGAACGCUGGCGGCAUGCCUUACACAUGCAAGUCGAACGGCAGCGGACCUUCGGGUGCCGGCGAGUGGCGAACGGGUGAGUAAUAUAUCGGAACGUACCUUUCAGUGGGGGAUAACGUAGCGAAAGUUACGCUAAUACCGCAUAUUCUGUGAGCAGGAAAGCAGGGGAUCGCAAGACCUUGCGCUGAUUGAGCGGCCGAUAUCAGAUUAGCUAGUUGGUGAGGUAAAGGCUCACCAAGGCGACGAUCUGUAGCGGGUCUGAGAGGAUGAUCCGCCACACUGGAACUGAGACACGGUCCAGACUCCUACGGGAGGCAGCAGUGGGGAAUUUUGGACAAUGGGCGCAAGCCUGAUCCAGCCAUGCCGCGUGAGUGAAGAAGGCCUCGGUUGUAAGUACGUCUUUAGUAUGUGACGA
rnacentral:rRNA from 1 species